rnacentral:snRNA from 1 species
GGAUGUGAGGGCGAUCUGGCUGCGACAUCUGUCACCCCAUUGAUCGCCAGGGUUGAUUCGGCUGAUCUGGCUGGCUAGGCGGGUGUCCCUUCCUCCCUCACCACUCCAUGUGCGUCCCUCCCGAAGCUGCAUGCUUGGUUGAAGAGUACGACCAUUCCUGAAAGAGGAGGACCGUUCUUUGUUCAAGGGUAUACGAGUAGCUGCGCUCCCCUGCUAGAACCUCCAAACAAGCUCUCAAGACAUUUAAGGCUGAUUCUAUCUAUAUCUUGGCUGUUGUGAAUCAUGCUGUAAUGAACAUAGGAGUACAGGAGUCUUUCACGUGUGAUUUCCUUUGACUA